AAGAGGGAAGAGCUCACAGUUGGAAUCUGGCCGUCUUGGAUGGUCCGAGUUGUAAACUGAAAAAGUGUUUUCCAGGCUAGCCGAGUAAAAAAGUUCCUUGGAAUAGGACAUCAUGGAGGGUGAGAAUCCCGUCUUUGGCUUGAGCAUAGUCUUUUGUGUUGCACUUUAAAGAGUCAGGUUGUUUGGGAAUGCAGCCUAAAGUGGGAGGUAAAUCCCUCCUAAAGCUAAAUAUUGGCGAGAGACCGAUAGCAAACAAGUACCGUGAGGGAAAGAUGAAAAGAACUUUGAAAAGAGAGUUAAACAGUAUGUGAAAUUGCUAAAAGGGAAGCGUUUGAAGACAGACUUGCUUGUCUACAAUCAGCCUGGACUUUGGUCUUGGUGUACUUGUGGACGAUGCUUGCCAACAUCAGUUUGGACUGGCUGAAAAAACUGGUAGUAAGGUGGCUUCUCCGGAAGUGUUAUAGACUACCAGAAAAUCAGUUGGACUGGACUGAGGAAUGCAAUGCAGCUUGACCUUGUGGUCAACUUGGUUGGAUUGGGGCCAUUGCUCUAUGAAGGCCAGGGUAGCUACUUGAACUGUAUUUAGGUUGUUGGCUUAAUGUCUUUAAACGGCCCGUCUUGAACCACGGACCAU
rnacentral:rRNA from 1 species